AAAAGUAUAUUUAAAAAAUAUUACGAAUUAUUGUAAAAUAACUUUUAAAAAAUUUGUUGCAGAUUUUCUUUGGCAUUUUAUUUAAUAAUUUCUCUAGAUCUUCCGGAAUUUGCACAUCUUACAAAGAAGUUAGAAACUACUUACCGAAGAAUACUUUCUAAGUACUCUGUAACUUGAUAAUGCAAACGCAUAAAUUUGUGUACUAUGUAAACGGAAAUUUCACAGUAACAACUCGAGCUAAAACUAAACAUUGUAUGAAAUCCAAUCAGGUUUUCACAAGGAUUUCGAAAAAUAAAUCAAAACAAUUCCACUCUAAUAAAAAAGACAAGAAGAGAAAAGAAAACGGCGAUUUAUCUAUCGUUGAUCUGAAAGCAAUCGAAAAUACAAUAAUCCAUACGAACAGUACAUAACGAAUAGUCGUAUCGAGCUAUUACGCAAUAAAGGACAAUGUUGGCAUAGGUUUUGACCGCAGGCGAGUCUUUUAAUCAUAUUCAAUCGUAUAAUAAUUAAUAUUCAUUCUUGCGCGUUAAUAUUCAAUCUUGCACAAUCAGGAAUCGACGAGCGAUUUUCAGACAGCCGGUGUCCCGUUAAGAAAUUGCAUUUGUAUGCUAUCGAACGAUCCGAUCUCUUGGAGAGCUUGCUUGUGGCACGAUAAAUAAUGUUAUAUGUGUACCCCCUUUUUUUUUCUUCUCUUUUCCUCCAUUUCUUCUCUUCGUAACAGUAAAUUCGUUUCUUUAUCUUUUCCUUUCUGUCUUUUCUGUCAAGUUGGAGAAAAUAGAUUCUUGAAAUUGAUAUUUAAAGGGAAAGUUUUCUUCACUUUUUUAACCAAUAUGUAGGAUAUAUUGCAUUCUUAUUUCAUAUCCAAAAAGUGGGAUAAACGUAGAACAUCCCUCAAGUUUGAUAAAAUGAUUAAUUCAAUGAAAACCUAAUCUAAAUUCAAAAAAGAAAAUUAUACAAUAUGAAAUACUUCUGAAGUGAAAAUAUAUAUGUAAUCUAACCUGAUUUAAUUUAAUCUAAAACAUAUUCAAAAAGAAAAAAGUACAUAAUAUGAAACACUUAUAGUCUAAUAAUAAAGUGAAAUUAUAUAUAUAAGUAAACUGAAACACAUUCAAAAAAGAAAAAGUAUAUAAUAUGAAACAUCUAUGAAGUCUGACAAUAAAGUGAAAAUAUGUAUGAUGUAUGUAAUCUAACCUGAUUCAACUUAACUUGAAACAGAUUCAAAAAAGGAAAAGUACAUAAUAUGAAACACUUAUAAAGUGAAAUUAGUACAUAUAUAUCGAUUUCUCGAACGUUAUUAUGCGAUAUCCAAUUGUAAUCCUCGACAAGAGCAAAAGCUUCUUGAUGGCGCGAGAAUUCUUAUCGCGAUCGUCAUUAGCCUGAUUCGAGACCUCCCACUGGCUGGCAGCUUUCUACGGCCGUUUCUUUCUUCCAUUGCUGGGAUGAGCAUCAACAAUGAUGUGGAUUGAUUAUAAAUGGAAGAUUUUACAUUUUUAAUUUUUAAUGUUACGAAGACGUAAUUGGAAUUUAGAUAAGUGAACGUGGAACUUGAACGCCAAUACGUAAAGUUGGAGUUCCAGUUCUGUAAUAUUUUAUUUGAAUCCUUCCUUUCUCUCGCGAUGAAGAUUAUUUACAAUAAUGUGGAUUGAUCAUGAAUGGAAGUUUGAAAAUUUUUUUACAUUUUUAACGAAGACGUAAUUGGAGUUUAUAUAAUCAUAUAAUCAUAUCUAUUAUGUAAAGUUUCGUACUCGGUGAUUAAGAUGAAGAUUAACGAUGAUGGAAAUUUAAAGAUUUAUAUUUAACUCUCGAGGAUCAAAAAGUGAUAUUCAUAAAUACUAACCAGGUUUAAUUGAACAAGGAUUAAUUAUAUUAUAAUUGUAUAAUUGAAAAUGAAGUCAAAAUUCGCAUUUAUAUUAAAAUUCACAUUUUCCAACAGACUUGCAGACUUCAGACCCUUCUACUCUUCCACCAUUCUUCAGAGCUCGAGUACAAAAGGCAAUUUACUGUAUGCUUCCCUGCAUAAACUACGAACUACAAAUAAACAAACGUCCAAUUUCAAAGAAAUUUUAUCUCGUACACGAGUUAACCGAUAACCAUAACGAUCGGUGGAUGCGGAUAUUUCGUGAGAUCCACUUCUCCAUAAAAAGAUUUGUACACGUUGAACGCGAUUACCUUAUCGACGUACAAGGGAAGAAACCUUUCGAUAGUCCUUGCACGACAGGACGGCGAAGACCUUUGCCACAAUGGCACGACGCUCCCACUCACGAUUGGAAAAAUCGUUUCUCCAUCGAUGGCCGCAAUCAUGCUGAACGAUAACUCUGGACGACAUUUUAAUAUUUGAAACAAUUAACGAGUAAUUAUACGAAUAAUGAAGAAGUUUGUGUCUCUAGUGUCACCAGAUUUUCACAUUAUACGUUAUUAUACGUUGUUCUCUUGGUGGAAUGGUAAAUCACUAUAAUUAAGAAGUCUUAUGAAAUAGAAUUAAUUCCUUGCUUUGUAUUUCAAGAGAUAUAAUUGGAACAGAGGAAUUUCAAUUCAGAGGGAAUAUUAAUUUUAGGAUAGGUUCUUUUCGUGGGAAAUUUUGAUUUUAGAAUUUGUCGAAUGAUGAUGGUGGAGAGUUCGUUAUACGUGAACAAAGAAGUUAUAUUCUUCUAAAUUUUUUCACUUUCUUUCUUCAAU
rnacentral:lncRNA from 1 species